AUGCUUAACACAUGCAAGUCGAACGGUAACAGAUAAGAUGAUCUCUUCGGAGUGAAUCUUUGCUGUCGAGUGGCGGACGGGUGAGUAAUGCUUGGGAAUCUGCCCAAUAGUGGGGGAAAACUCGGGGAAACCCGGGCUAAUACCGCAUAAUCUCUACGGAGGAAAGAGGGCCUCUACAUGUAAGCUCUCGCUAAUGGAUGAGCCCAAGUCAGAUUAGCUAGUUGGUAAGGUAAUGGCUUACCAAGGCUACGAUCUGUAGCUGGUCUGAGAGGAUGAUCAGCCACACUGGGACUGAGACACGGCCCAGACUCCUACGGGAGGCAGCAGUGGGGAAUAUUGCACAAUGGGCGCAAGCCUGAUGCAGCAAUGCCGCGUGUGUGAAGAAGGCUCUAGGGUUGUAAAGCACUUUCAAUAGAGAAGAAAAGCUUGAAAUUAAUACUUUCAAGCCUUGACGUAAUCUAUACAAGAAGCACCGGCUAAUUCCGUGCCAGCAGCCGCGGUAAUACGGGAGGUGCGAGCGUUAAUCGGAAUUACUGGGCGUAAAGCGAGCGUAGGCUGUUAAUUAAGUCGAAUGUGAAAUCCCCGGGCUCAACCUGGGAACUGCAUUCGAAACUAUUUAACUAGAGUAUGGGAGAGGAAAGUAGAAUUUCCGGUGUAGCGGUGAAAUGCGUAGAUAUCGGAAGGAACACCAGUGG
rnacentral:rRNA from 1 species